AUCCAGUUGACGAGUCCCAAAUAAGACGAAACGCGCAUUAUCCUGGAU
rfam:Trichobilharzia regenti genome assembly, scaffold: TRE_scaffold0023458